ensembl:lncRNA
GGCUGAAUUGCACAAUAAAAAGACUUAUUUCUUCUUGCUUCCUGAAAGCCCAGUGGCAGCCUGAUGGAAAUGUCUUCUCUGUGGAUUCCUGAAAUGAGACAAGUUUAAUCCCACUACUGCCCUUGUGACAUUCCCCUGCUCUGAUGCUCCACAUCCACCUCAGGCAUUUAUCAUUCUACCUCUGUACCCUAAGGUGCACACAGAGUUAGCUGAGGGAUGUCAGAGCGAGGAGAGGUGCCAGACCCACAUUUGUUUGGCUAAAACAUACAAUCCCUGGCCAACAGUCCACAGCCCCAACUGCUCCGGAGCUUCCAUGACCUGCUUACGUGUUAUGAAUACAUGGCACAAAAAGCGAGUUUUGUAUUGGGAUCUCAUCAGCCCCGGGUUUCUGGUCAUGCAGGAGCUCAGUGUCCUUAUGUCCACGUAUCCUGUAUGGCCUCUUCUCCCAGGUAACAGCAAUAGGAUGAGAGGUAAUGGCCUCAGGUUACGCUAAGGGAGGUUUAGGUGAGAUAUUAGGAACAAUUUCUUCUCAGAUGAAGUGGCAAUGCAUUGGCACGGGCUGCCCAAGGAGGUGGUGGAGUCACCGUCCCUGGGGGUGUUGAAGAGCUGUGGAGAUGUGGCACUGAAGGAUGUGGUCAGUGGGUGAUACUGGUGGUAGGGGACAGUUGGAGUAGAUGAUCUUAAUGGUCUUUCCCUAUCUUAACGUUUCCAUGGUUCUAUGAUCCCAAUGCAGCCAAGGCCUGUGGAUACUACUGCAUUAAAACAACAACUUUUAUCUUCCUCUCAGAUGUGAAUUUAAUCUUUGCUUAUUUUUAUGCUUCAUAACUAGCGGCUGUUUCUGUAACCCCUGUGUUGAUUUCUCACACAUAGUCUAUGUGAUACCUACCCUUCAUGAGUGAUCCUUGUGUGUUUUGCACGAUUUGACAUAAAAGUUCUCUGCUAAUCAAAAGCUAUUGCUGCUGUGAUGUUUCUGUGCUGUGAAAUGACCUCCAGUCAAUGAAAGCCCCCUCCAAAACAUCCCUGCCUACACCUACUGCUUUGUGACCUUGUUUCCUGCGGGUGAAGGUGGGAAAGAAGAACACGGUUACCUUUGAGCAAAGAGCUGUGUGACCGUGGGUGUCAAUAAUAUCACCAGAACUUAGCUAUGGUGUUGCAGUGCCCUUUUGCUGGCUUUCUGUGCAAGCACAUAUCUGUAAUAGCAUCAUUUGUCGCAAAGAUUUCACUUAGUUUCUUCCUCUCAGGCAUGGUAUGUGAUCACUGAAUCUUGAAGUCAUUCCUCAGACAAGUCAUCUUGCCUUUGAUGAAGAUUUGUAAUCCUGGAAGGGCUGUUCAAAAUCUAUGCCAGUAAUUUUUCAUAUUUGGAGGUAUUAAUGAUGUACAAAUUCCUGGGUUCAGUACUGGCCAAGCUGCUACAGUCUAUUUUAUAUUGAAGUAAAUACAAAUGAUCGAAGCAGAACUUCUGGCUUGAACAUGUGCAAAUGCUACCAUUAUCAGCUGAAGUAAUUACAUGGCAUGCAUUUGUUUAAAUACUUAGUGUAGCUGCUGACCCUAUGGCAUCAUCUCCCUCUUUUGUAACAUCCAUGGACAUUUUGAGAGGUUUGCAUUUGCCAAUGGAGCUCCAUCCCUACUGUGUCCCCAGGCUUGAUGUACUGCAUGGUUUGGGACGCGGGACUGAUUUCUUACACGUGUCCUCUCUGACUCUUCAGGAAGGAUGGCAGCUAUUGAGGUUAUUACGUUGUUACCCCAUACUCCACCCAUGACUGCAGCACAAUCUCACGCUCUUGGCUGCUGUUUCAGAAACAGCCAGUGGAGUUGGCUCUGCAUGGAUACGCUGAGCUGAAUUUGGAGCAAACACCAGCCCCUGUGCUGUAUGUAAUUAGAAGAUGCUUCCGGUGGGUGAGAUGCUGGAGGAGUGCUUUGGCCAUGUCAAACCGCAGUCUCUCUCCAGAUUCAAAUCCACAACACCAUCAACUUUAGAGGUAUGUUUCCUAUCCUGCACAGGCCACAUCUAUUAGCGUUUGUGUCUUCAUUUUUUUCAUCCUUCAUUUCCCUUUACAUAGUCUUAUUUUUCCCAGUCAAUAAAAAUGAUUUUACUCUUCUUAAUUAGAUUUUUUUUUUUAGGUUUCCCAUAGUAAUUAAUGCACUUUUCUUCAGCACUAUAACCUAUUACAGUAGUUAAAAUAUUAAAUCAUGACAGCUGCCAGAUCUAAGGGACCAAGAAACAUAGGUUCUUCGAUAGUCACUUUGUCUUUAUCUUUUAAAUUAGUUUGCAGACUGCUUUACAUUUUUGGGUAAGUAAUAACAUUUGUUGAUUCGAAUGAAGAGCGAUAUAAAAAUAAAUUGCAUUGUACUUUUAAUUACACAGUCUUAAUUUUUGUGGUGACACUCCAGGCUCUCAUAUAAUGUUGUUUAAUGUUUGCGUCUCUUUAUUGAUUUGAUAAUUUAAAUACAAAAAGAUUGUUUAAUUUGCAAAUUUCUGCAUUCAGCCUUGGGGUGCUUUGUUGAUUAAGGAAUCAGAGGAGUGCUGUCUUUUCCCCCAUCUCCAUCAUGCACACAGAGGCAUGUACGUUCCACACUUGCUUUUUCUCAGGCCCCAAAUCCCAGGUACCAAGAUGGUUUUCUCCACUGCUCUGAGAAUGCAACCCUCCCCCUACUUGACAUUUCAAGCUAGGGUAUGAAAUACGCUGCUGCUCCAAGGGGCCCUGGUUUUGGGGAUCCUUGGAGUGGCUGAAGAUAGCAGUGGGUAGAUCAAGAGCUCCCAUUGGAUGAGGUGGCCUUGGCAGGUUCUCUCUUCACCUGGGAAGUCAAAUGGCCUCACAAGUUCAAGAGUGGUUAGAAACCAUCCAUCCUCUGUGGAGGACAUGGUGGAAAGAAGACCUCAAAAAAGUCCGUGGAAUCUGUAGGAAGAGUCUGGUUUGGUGGGCUCCUUCAGUUUCUCAUUUUCUGCUCUCUAGGUAUUUCAAACCUUCCUUUCUCCAACUAAAAUGACAUCUCUAACCUAACUCUUCCAUCCACCUCAGCGCUCUUGGAGAGAAGCCACAGGAACUGCUCCAUGUUACCCUCAGCACUGUAAGCCACUGUGUCAAACCCAUCUAUGGGGGUUGCUUUUGAGAUGUUUGUCCUUCACUUUCGGAGCUGCAAAGGCUUCAUUUGGUACCUGGCACUACUCCCAUGGAAGUCAACUGGAAGAGGCCAACAGACUUCCCUGAAAGGCAUUUUGAGAAUGGUGCAUGCCUCCUAUCCUACCCACAGCACUGCGUGAGGAACCACGAUGGGAAAUGCAGCCAGAACACACCAUUUUGCUGCCCUGGGUCCCCCAGUCCGUGCUCCUCACCUGUUGCAGGCAAUGUGGGUUCCCUCACAGGGCUGCAGAGCGAUCAGAGGGGCUGCAUCACUGCCCUGCAUGCUGCAAAAUAAAUCCACGUCAGUGCAUAAAGGGGGAGAGAAAGGAAACGCCGGGUCCCUUCCCUCCGUAUUUUCCGUGUUUUAUAACACCUCUGUCAGCACACAUUGCCAUUCACUGCAGAAAUUACAUCUCACGAGCGCUACAAUAAGGAUUUGAAGACAAAUGACACGCGAGCACCACAGCUCUGUGCCGGCUUAAGCGAUCCCAAUACCUUCAUCACAUACGGGGUAUCGGGAUGCACGCAGCCCACUUGUUCCAAAUGCCACACGGCAAAGAUUGAGCGUCACAGGACUCCGGGCGGCACGAAACCAGCCCGGACAGAAUGUGUUUUAAAUGCAGGAGGGCUUUCAGACCGCGGGGUGCAAUGAUGGCACCUAACCCUAACCCUAACCCUAACCCUAACCCUAACCGCUACCUCCCUCCAGCCCCGUUUCCAAAACUCCUGAAGGUUGGUGAGGUUUUCGAGUGCCCUCGUGCCCAGGCUGUAACAUUCCCAUCCGCCAUACAGCUCCUGUGCUUUCAAGUUGCAAGAGGUGAAAACAUUUUAGCUUUUCGGGCGGGUAAACACCUCCCUGUGAAACAAUGUAAGCGAGGCGGGAUGCCGCCCAGGUGCACAGGGGAUAAAGGAGAACAGGGGGGGAUUGCUUACACAGGGGCAAAACUCACCCUGGGGGCCAUAGGGCACAGAUUGGGAUGCUGGGAAAGGGACUCCGUGACGGUGCUGUGAUUGAAACCCUGGGCAGCCUGGUCUAGUAUUAAAUGGGGAGGUUGGUGGCCCUGCAUGCAGCAGGGGGGUUGGAGAUUCAUGAUCCUUGAGGUCCCUUCCAACCCAGGCCAUUCUGUGAUUCUGUGUGUGAUUCUGUGACUGGGGAGCCCGACUGGAGGGCUGCGCUUCUCUUGGUCAGAGCUGAACAUGAAGGAUGGAUACUGACGGAUGCCAGCAUGUUUAUAUUUCACUGUCCCGCCCGUUCCUCCAUUCUUCAGCUGUUUCAGAGCUUGUCCUUCAACAAAACAAGCAGCCCUGUAGGAGAUGUUGGCUCACGUUUGGUCUUCCCUUGAAGCUGUGACAUUCCCUGAGCAUCAGCCAGGAACCCCUCUCUCCCCACUGCACCCAUCUCCAGUCCCACUGCACCCCCGUGCAGUCACAGAAUCACAGAAUGGUAGAACCAUUAAGGACCAAAAGACCUCUAAGACCAUCUUGUCCAACCAUCAACCCACCCCACCAUGCCCACUAUGUCUCCCAGUGCCACAUCUCCAUGGCUCUUGAUGUCCUCCAUGGUCAGUGACCCCACUGCCUCCAUGGGCAGACUGUGCCAAUGCAGGGAGCAGGGCUCAGCCCCCCGCUCUGCCCUCUCACAAACACAUCAUCUCCAUCUCAUCUCCCACCCACGCUUUAACUUACCCAGGUGCCACAACACACCUUGCUUUCUCCUGACUCCCUGCGGGCUUUGGUUUCGGUGCUGUUUGCCCCGCGUUUGUAUUAUUUUGGAUGCUUUCCUGCAACUGCACCAGCUGCACCAUCCCCAUGACCUCCCCAUGCCGUGUGUGUAAGGUUCUGUGGGUGCCCCCCCCCCUUCCACGCAGCACACACAUGAGGAGGCACGGCAGCACGAAGGAUACCGGUCAUCAGCUCCUUGCAGCUCCACUUGGGAUCCCGCUUAUACAGCUCAGAGCGCGUUCCAUGGCUGUUACACAUACACAGCUAAGUUUCCCAAAGGUGGGAAAAAAAAAAAAAGAAACCCCACCAGAAUUUCUCCUCGCAGCAAAGCGCUUCCCAAAGUUUGCAGAGAACGAUUUCCAUUUCCUCUUACCUCCCUGCAGGGCAAAAUCCCCAAAGCUUAGGUAGGGCACCCAAGCUGACCACCCCCCUUUUUCCACCCCCCUAAGACCUCUCCGGGCUCCCCAAUUCCGCACGAUCGCCUUAUAAUUGCAAGAAAUCGCGGGCGGAGCUCAGCGCCCGCAUCGCUGGCGAUGGAGAGAAGCCCGCUAACCCCGGGAGGGCCCUAACAAGGACAGCGCAGGGGCUCCCCCCGCACCCCCAGCCCCG